UGCGUAGGCGGCUGUGCAAGUCUGGCGUGAAAGCCCCGGGCUCAGCCCGGGAAGUGCGCUCGAAACUGCACGGCUCGAGUGCCGGAGGGGAGAGUGGAAUUCCUGGUGUAGCGGUGAAAUGCGUAGAUAUCAGGAGGAAUACCGGUGGCGAAAGCGACUCUCUGGACGGCAACUGACGCUGAGGCACGAAAGCGUGGGAGCAAACA
rnacentral:rRNA from 1 species